AUGAUGCUUUGACCGGACGUUAUUUGGAUGGUUAAAUAGUAAAUUAAAAGCAGAGAAAAAUAAAGUGCCAGCAUUCGCGGUCAGACUUUAUGUGCGAGUCAAUGAGUUUGUAAAUAAGUUAAGCGAAAAUUUAAUUUAGAAACCAUUUAAUGUGUUAGGUGAAAUUUACAUUAAUUAGGGAAAUAGAAUUGUUUUAAUGCUAAACCUGAUAAGGCUGAUGUAGAGACGGGGAUUAGAGACCCCCUUAUUUAUGCUUUCCUUAAUUAUACGGGGAGUACGAGCAGGAGUGCUUAAAAACCAAUCAAGUUGGCGGUGUUUCAUAUCCGGUUAGGGGAACUUGACGGUUAAAUCGAUGAUCCUCGAAAAUCUUACACCUAGUAUUCUUUGCAUACCGCCGUUGUUAGUUCUCCUUAGAUAGAAAAGUUUUUUGCUUAAGAUACGGGUAAUAUAUUAUUUACUUAGCUAUAGUAAUUCAGGUAAACGUGUAGGUUCUAGGUGGCUUAGUUGAGUUACAAUUUUUUAUAAAUACGGAAUCUUUAUGAAAAAUAAGAGUGAAGGUGUACUUGUUAGUAAAAUUUUAAUAGAGGAAAUUUGAAUGAGGUUGUGAAAUGCGUACAAAUCGCCCGGCGCCCCCGGAUAAAGGAAACGGAAACUGGGGUAAGUCGUAACAUAGUAAUGCUAACAGAAGUUGGUGUUAAACUUGA
rnacentral:rRNA from 1 species